rnacentral:rRNA from 1 species
CAGCCGCCACGGGAAUACGUAGGUGGCAAGCGUUGUUCGGAAUUACUGGGCGUAAAGCGCACGUAGGCGGAUAUUUAAGUCAGGGGUGAAAUCCCAGAGCUCAACUCUGGAACUGCCUUUGAUACUGGGUAUCUUGAGUAUGGAAGAGGUUAGUGGAAUUGCGAGUGUAGAGGUGAAAUUCGUAGAUAUUGGGAAGAACACCGGUGGCGAAGGCGGCGACCUGGUCCUUGACUGACGCUGAGGCGCGAAAGCGUGGGGAGCAAACAGGAUUAGAUACCCCAGUAGUCCCUGUCUCUUAUAA